UAAGAACUGGGAGUAACUACCGUGAAACCGGGGCUAAUACCGGAUAAUACAUGAAACCGCAUGGUUUCAUGAUGAAAGACGGUUUUGCUGUCACUUAUAGAUGGACCCGCGGCGUAUUAGCUAGUUGGUAAGGUAACGGCUUACCAAGGCAACGAUACGUAGCCGACCUGAGAGGGUGAUCGGCCACACUGGAACUGAGACACGGUCCAGACUCCUACGGGAGGCAGCAGAG
rnacentral:rRNA from 1 species